UACGAAGGGUGCAAGCGUUGCUCGGAAUUAUUGGGCGUAAAGCGCACGUAGGCGGCUUUGCAAGUCCGAUGUGAAAGCCCACGGCUCAACCGUGGAAGUGCAUGGGAAACUGCAGAGCUUGAGUACUUAAGAGGAUCGCGGAAUUCCCGGUGUAGAGGUGAAAUUCGUAGAUAUCGGGAGGAACACCAGUGGCGAAGGCGGCGAUCUGGGAAGAUACUGACGCUGAGGUGCGAAAGCGUGGGGAGCAAACAGG
rnacentral:rRNA from 1 species